rnacentral:rRNA from 1 species
ACAGCCAUACCACAUAGAAAACACUUGACCUCUUCUCAUCUCAGAGGCUAAGCAGGGUCAGGUCUGGCUAGUACUUAGCUGGGAGAAAAUAAAUUCAUACCCUGUC